AACGAACGCUGGCGGCAGGCUUAACACAUGCAAGUCGAACGGGUGUAGCAAUACAUCAGUGGCAGACGGGUGAGUAACACGUGGGAACCUUCCUAGGGGUACGGAACAACUCAGGGAAACUUGAGCUAAUACCGUAUACGUCCGUAAGGAGAAAGAUUCAUCGCCCCUAGACGGGCCCGCGUCGGAUUAGGUAGUUGGUGGGGUAACGGCCUACCAAGCCUACGAUCCGUAGCUGAUCUGAGAGGANGAUCAGCCACGCUGGGACUGAGACACGGCCCAGACUCCUACGGGAGGCAGCAGUGGGGAAUCUUGGACAAUGGGCGCAAGCCUGAUCCAGCCAUGCCGCGUGAGUGAAGAAGGCCUUAGGGUUGUAAAGCUCUUUUACCAGGGACGAUAAUGACGGUACCUGGAGAAUAAGCCCCGGCAAACUUCGUGCCAGCAGCCGCU
rnacentral:rRNA from 1 species